ACGAAGGGAGCUAGCGUUGUUCGGAAUUACUGGGCGUAAAGGGCGCGUAGGCGGUUUAGAUAGUCAGAUGUGAAAGCCCAAGGCUCAACCUUGGAAUUGCGUUUGAUACUACUAUUCUUGAAUUCGGGAGAGGUGAGUGGAAUUCCCAGUGUAGAGGUGAAAUUCGUAGAGAUUGGGAAGAACACCGGUGGCGAAGGCGGCUCACUGGACCGAUAUUGACGCUGAGGCGCGAAAGUGUGGGGAGCAAACAG
rnacentral:rRNA from 1 species